CUGAAAUACUGUGAAUAAUGUUAUAAAAAGUUCUUGAACUUUUGUAACAUUGCAUCUGACAAUAUUUUAUAGGAUCGAAGUCUAAGACUAGAAGUAAAGAGGAAAUUCCUUUCACUUUAGUUUGAAGAAACAGAUGAGACUCUGGACAAAGACUGCAAGCAAAGGAAGAACCAGUCACUUCACACAGAGCAUGGGAGUUUUGGCAUCACCAGUUCCAGUGAAGAAGCAAGUAACAGCAUGGGUAUUUUAGCUCACAUAUAAAAUGAAACAAACCAGAGCGAGAGAAAGAGAAUCCUGUUUCAGUACAGAUAACCUUGGUAAGUAAAAGUGUCAGAACGUUAAUACUCACUUGUUCUUUGAUGCACAAGUGUUACCAAGUCCACUGAUCACUGCAUGACAGACCAAUAGAUGGAGAGUUGAGGUGUUGGGACAAGGAAUAAUGACUUUAUUCAGAAAGCCAGCAGACUAAGAGGAUGGCAGACUAGUGUCCCAAAGAACCAUCUUACCCAAGUUAGAAUUCAGGCUUCUUUUAUACUAAAAAGGGAGGGGGCGUGGCUAUUGUUGCAAAAUGUUUUGGUGCAGGACUCUUUUAUUCUUCUAGCUCUCCGCAUAGGUCUGGGC
rnacentral:lncRNA from 1 species